UACGGGGGGAGCAAGCGUUGUUCGGAUUUACUGGGCGUAAAGGGCGGGUAGGCGGCCACCGCAAGUCAGUUGUGAAAUCUCUGGGCUUAACCCAGAAAGGUCAACUGAUACUGCGGGGCUAGAGUGCAGAAGGGGCAACUGGAAUUCUCGGUGUAGCGGUGAAAUGCGUAGAUAUCGAGAGGAACACCUGCGGCGAAGGCGGGUUGCUGGGCUGACACUGACGCUGAACUGCGAAAGCUAGGGGAGCGAACGGGA
rnacentral:rRNA from 1 species